rnacentral:rRNA from 1 species
CCUACGCGAGGCAGCAGUAGGGAAUUUUCGUCAAUGGGCGCAAGCCUGAACGAGCGAUGCCGCGUGAGUGAAGAAGGCCUUCGGGUCGUAAAGCUCUGUUGCGGGGGAAAAAAGGCAGCAUCAGGAAAUGGGUGCUGACUGAUGGUGCCCCGCCAGAAAGUCACGGCUAACUACGUGCCAGCAGCCGCGGUAAUACGUAGGUGGCGAGCGUUAUCCGGAUUGGUUGGGCGUAAAGGGUGCGCAGGCGGUCCUGCAAGUCUGGAGUGAAACGCAUGAGCUCAACUCAUGCAUGGCUUUGGAAACUGGAGGACUGGAGAGCAGGAGAGGGCGGUGGAACGCCAUGUGUAGCGGUAAAAUGCGUAGAUAUAUGGAAGAACACCAGUGGCGAAGGCGGCCGCCUGGCCUGUUGCUGACGCUGAGGCACGAAAGCGUGGGGAGCAAAUAGGAUUAGAUACCCUUGUAGUC